UUCUUUAUCCUAUUACUUGUUUUGUUCGUGGUUCUUUAAUCGGCAGUAGCUAUGUGAUUUGGGAAUCUUGAUGUUGGGAUUUCAUAGUAAGAGCUACUGCAGUGUCUACAUUUCUUGUGAAAAGUUUGAGUUCUUAGUUCAGGCGGCCAUGAUUUCUAUGUGAAACUUGAUUGUCGAGCAUUAUUUGGAUCUUGGUGCUAUUUCUAUGUUUCUCCUAUGAUUCUAAGUUCUUGACUACUCAUUGAGGCCGCUCUAAAUGAUGUGAAAUGGUUGUUGGGUGUUGAGGUAAUUACCUCACUCGGUGGAUCCUCUCGGUUCGCGGUUGUCCUCCCCCCUCCCUGCUUCGCCGCUGUCUCUCCUCGCCUUCUUGCUCCUCCCGUUUCCUUGCUGCACUCCUUGAUUUUGAGUGAAUUUGUGGUGUCUAAAGAAGUGGGGAGGGGAAGGGAGAUGGGGCUGCUUAUAUAGUUCUCUAUUUUGGCUGUUUGUGCUGAAACUUGGGGACAAAGACUCUCAUUUUUGGCUGCCAGCUUGCUGCCUUUCGAACAUGAUGUUUAUGCUUGCUAUGCUAUUUUGGUGUAAGUUGGGGCUGCCUCUCUCGGCUGCUAUCUCAGCCUCGGUUGAUGAGGAAAGAGAAUCUGAUGUUGCCUCUAAAAGGCCUUAGGGAUGAGCUCACUCCUUGCUUAUUCUUGUCUUUUUCCUUUCUUGGAAGAUUGAUGAUGCAUUGUAUAUGGGUUGUCAUCCUUGGAGCUUGUGGAGGCCGAAAAUCGAGAAGGAUGGGAAUGAGGGAAACACUUAGAUUUAGUUGCUCUAUUUGGCUAGUAUCCGAAUAUUGUUGUUUGGCAUCUUUGAAAUGCUAAGUUGUAGCUUCCACUUUUGUAUUUUCCACAUGUAACUAUUAUGUAGCAAAAUCUCACACCUCUCAAUAAGAUUGUGUAGUCCUUUUCCA